ACUCAAAUGAAUUGACGGGGGCUCACACAAGCGGUGGAGCAUGUGGCUUAAUUCGAAGCAACGCGAAGAACCUUAUCCAAGGCUUGACAUGUAUGGAUUAGGUCGGUGAAAGCCGACUGAGGCCCUUUGGGUACAACAUACACAGGUGCUGCAUGGCUGUCGUCAGCUCGUGCUGUGAAGUGUCGGGUUAAGUCCCUUAACGAGCGAAACCCCUGUCGCUAGUUGCUAACGCGUUAUGGCGAGGACUCUAGCGAGACUGCCGGUGUCAAACCGGAGGAAGGUGGGGAUGACGUCAAGUCCUCAUGGCCUUUAUGCCUUGGGCUGCACACGUGCUACAAUGGCGCGGUACAAAGCGAAGCGAGACCGCAAGGUGGAGCAAAUCGCAUAAAACGCGCCCCAGUUCAGAUUGAGGUCUGCAACCCGACCUCAUGAAGUUGGAAUCGCUAGUAAUCGGGGAUCAGCUACGCCCCGGUGAAUAUGUUCCUGAGCCUUGUACACACCGCCCGU
rnacentral:rRNA from 1 species